rnacentral:rRNA from 1 species
AGUGAACGCUGGCGGUAGGCCUAACACAUGCAAGUCGAACGGCAGCACAGUAAGAGCUUGCUCUUACGGGUGGCGAGUGGCGGACGGGUGAGGAAUACAUCGGGAUCUACUUUUUCGUGGGGGAUAACGUAGGGAAACUUACGCUAAUACCGCAUACGACCUACGGGUGAAAGCAGGGGAUCUACGGACCUUGCGCGAUUGAAUGAGCCGAUGUCGGAUUAGCUAGUUGGCGGGGUAAAGGCCCACCAAGGCGACGAUCCGUAGCUGGUCUGAGAGGAUGAUCAGCCACACUGGAACUGAGACACGGUCCAGACUCCUACGGGAGGCAGCAGUGGGGAAUAUUGGACAAAGGGCGCAAGCCUGAUCCAGCCAUACCGCGUGGGUGAAGAAGGCCUUCGGGUUGUAAAGCCCUUUUGUUGGGAAAGAAAAGCAGCAGGUUAAUACCCCGCUGUUCUGACGGUACCCAAAGAAUAAGCACCGGCUAACUUCGUG